rnacentral:rRNA from 1 species
CAGCCGCCACGGUAAUACGGAGGGAGCUAGCGUUGUUCGGAAUUACUGGGCGUAAAGCGCACGUAGGCGGUUAUUCAAGUCAGAGGUGAAAGACCGGGGCUCAACCCCGGAACUGCCUUUGAAACUAGAUGACUGGAAUCUUGGAGAGGUCAGUGGAAUUCCGAGUGUAGAGGUGAAAUUCGUAGAUAUUCGGAAGAACACCAGUGGCGAAGGCGACUGACUGGACAAGUAUUGACGCUGAGGUGCGAAAGCGUGGGGAGCAAACAGGAUUAGAUACCCGCGUAGUCCCUGUCUCUUAUAC